rnacentral:rRNA from 1 species
UACGUAGGGUGCAAGCGUUGUCCGGAAUUAUUGGGCGUAAAGAGCUCGUAGGCGGUCUGUCGCGUCGGCUGUGAAAACCCGGGGCUCAACCCCGGGCCUGCAGUCGGUACGGGCAGACUAGAGUGCGGUAGGGGAGACUGGAAUUCCUGGUGUAGCGGUGAAAUGCGCAGAUAUCAGGAGGAACACCGGUGGCGAAGGCGGGUCUCUGGGCCGAUACUGACGCUGAGGAGCGAAAGCCAGGGGAGCAAACGGG